rnacentral:rRNA from 1 species
UACGUAGGGUGCAGGCGUUAAUCGGAAUUACUGGGCGUAAAGCGUGCGCAGGCGGCUUCCUAAGUCAGAUGUGAAAUCCCCGGGCUCAACCUGGGAACUGUGUUUGAAACUGGGAGGCUAGAGUGCGGCAGAGGGGGGUGGAAUUCCACGUGUAGCAGUGAAAUGCGUAGAUAUGUGGAGGAACACCGAUGGCGAAGGCAGCCCCCUGGGCCAGCACUGACGCUCAUGCACGAAAGCGUGGGGAGCAAACAGG